rnacentral:rRNA from 1 species
UAGAGUUUGAUCCUGGCUCAGGAUGAACGCUGGCGGCGUGCCUAAUACACGCAAGUCGAGCGAAUGGAUUAAGAGCUUGCUCUUAUGAAGUUAGCGGCGGACGGGUGAGUAACACGUGGGUAACCUGCCCAUAAGACUGGGAUAACUCCGGGAAACCGGGGCUAAUACCGGAUAACAUUUUGAACCGCAUGGUUCGAAAUUGAAGGCGGCUUCGGCUGUCACUUAUGGAUGGACCCGCGUCGCAUUAGCUAGUUGGUGAGGUAACGGCUCACCAAGGCAACGAUGCGUAGCCGACCUGAGAGGGUGAUCGGCCACACUGGGACUGAGACACGGCCCAGACUCCUACGGGAGGCAGCAGUAGGGAAUCUUCCGCAAUGGACGAAAGUCUGACGGAGCAACGCCGCGUGAGUGAUGAAGGCUUUCGGGUCGUAAAACUCUGUUGUUAGGGAGACAAGUGCUAGUUGAAUAAGCUGGCACCUUGACGGUACCUAACCAGAAAGCCACGGCUAACUACG